rnacentral:rRNA from 1 species
AACGAACGCUGGCGGCAUGCCUAACACAUGCAAGUCGAACGAGACCUUCGGGUCUAGUGGCGCACGGGUGCGUAACGCGUGGGAACCUGCCCUUAGGUUCGGAAUAACUCCCCGAAAGGGGUGCUAAUACCGGAUAAUGUCUUUGGACCAAAGAUUUAUCGCCUUUGGAUGGGCCCGCGUUGGAUUAGCUAGUUGGUAGGGUAAAAGCCUACCAAGGCGACGAUCCAUAGCUGGUCUGAGAGGAUGAUCAGCCACACUGGGACUGAGACACGGCCCAGACUCCUACGGGAGGCAGCAGUGGGGAAUAUUGGACAAUGGGCGAAAGCCUGAUCCAACAAUGCCGCGUGAGUGAUGAAGGCCUUAGGGUUGUAAAGCUCUUUUACCCGGGAUGAUAAUGACAGUACCGGGAGAAUAAGCUCCGGCUAACUCCGUG